rnacentral:rRNA from 1 species
CCUACGGGAGGCAGCAGUGGGGAAUAUUGCACAAUGGGGGGAACCCUGAUGCAGCGACGCCGCGUGAGUGAAGAAGUAUUUCGGUAUGUAAAGCUCUGUCAGCAGGGAAGAAAGAAAUGACGGUACCGGACCAAGAAGCCCCGGCUAACUCCGUGCCAGCAGCCGCGGUAAUACGUAGGGGGCAAGCGUUAUCCGGAAUUACUGGGUGUAAAGGGAGCGUAGACGGUUACGUAAGUCUGGAGUGAAAGGCCGGGGCCCAACCCCGGGACUGGUCUGGAAACUCUUGAACUUGAGUGCAGGAGAGGUAAGCGGACUUCCUGGUGUUGCGGUGAGCUGCGUAGAUGUUAGUGGGAACCCCAGUGGCGACGGCGGCUUACUGGACUGUAACUGACGUUGCGGCUCGAACGCGUGGGGAGCAAACAGGCUUAGAUACCCGGGUAGUC